CGGGUGAGUAACACGUGAGCAACCUGCCCUAGGCUUUGGGAUAACCCCGGGAAACCGGGGCUAAUACCGAAUAUGACCUGGCCUCGCAUGAGGCUUGGUGGAAAGUUUUUCGGCCUGGGAUGGGCUCGCGGCCUAUCAGCUUGUUGGUGGGGUGAUGGCCUACCAAGGCGACGACGGGUAGCCGGCCUGAGAGGGCGACCGGCCACACUGGGACUGAGACACGGCCCAGACUCCUACGGGAGGCAGCAGUGGGGAAUAUUGCACAAUGGGCGGAAGCCUGAUGCAGCGACGCCGCGUGAGGGAUGACGGCCUUCGGGUUGUAAACCUCUUUCAGCAGGGACGAAGCGUAAGUGACGGUACCUGCAGAAGAAGCGCCGGCCAACUACGUGCCAGCAGCCGCGGUAAGACGUAGGGCGCGAGCGUUGUCCGGAUUUAUUGGGCGUAAAGAGCUCGUAGGCGGCUUGUCGCGUCGACCGUGAAAACUUGGGGCUCAACCCCAAGCCUGCGGUCGAUACGGGCAGGCUAGAGUUCGGUAGGGGAGACUGGAAUUCCUGGUGUAGCGGUGAAAUGCGCAGAUAUCAGGAGGAACACCGGUGGCGAAGGCGGGUCUCUGGGCCGAU
rnacentral:rRNA from 1 species